CCUGCCACCUGUUGACUUGCACAUUUCCAUUGCAGGCGCUUCCAGGGGCUGCUGAAGGGCAAGAGCCAGAGAGCUCCUCUGAGUACAGCAGGGCACGGGAAGCUCCUCAGGACCUGCAGCAAGACACCAUCAGGAGAAAGCAGAGCUGCGAGGAGGAGAGGGACAGCCAGGCAGACAUUGAAAGGCAAAAGGCGGAUCCCAAGCUUGAAGAGACUCCUGAAGAAAUGUCACCUGCUGGGCUCAAUUCUGGAACACCUGAUGGGCACAGGGGACAUUCUUCGGAGGAGAAAAGUUUUGUUUCUGUUUAGCUUCAUACUGAGAGU